rnacentral:rRNA from 1 species
AUGAACGCUAGCGGCAGGCCUAACACAUGCAAGUCGAGGGGCAUCACAGGUAGCAAUACUGGGUGGCGACCGGCGCACGGGUGCGUAACGCGUAUGCAACCUACCUUUAACUGGGGAAUAGCCCGGAGAAAUCCGGAUUAAUGUCCCAUAAUAUUCAGUUUGGACAUCCUAAUUGAAUUAAAGCUUUAGUGGUUAAAGAUGGGCAUGCGUGGCAUUAGCUAGUUGGUGAGGUAACGGCUCACCAAGGCGACGAUGCCUAGGGGUUCUGAGAGGAUUAUCCCCCACACUGGUACUGAGACACGGACCAGACUCCUACGGGAGGCAGCAGUGAGGAAUAUUGGUCAAUGGACGCAAGUCUGAACCAGCCAUGCCGCGUGCAGGAUGAAGGCCCUAUGGGUUGUAAACUGCUUUUGUUUGGGAAGAAACUCUCGUACGUGUACGGGACUGACGGUACCAGGCGAAUAAGCAUCGGCUAACUCCGU